UCUUAACUAAUGAUCUGGAGUUGGACUACACGUUAAUUUAUUAGCACAUUGUUUAGUUUAUUUUAAGUCAUAAAAUACAGAAAUUCCUUGCGAGGAAUUUCAGUGAAGGAACUUUGUUCCCCAAUUGAUAAAUUAGCUAUAAGUA
rnacentral:ncRNA from 1 species